CUUCUCAUUCGUCCCACUGGUCUAUAUCAGGAGCAGGCAACCUUUGGCACUGCAGAUGGUGUAGAGAAAACGUAGUCCGCAACAUCUGGAGUACCAAAUACUGCCUACCCCUGCUUAUGGAAGACAUGUUAUAUAUAUACCCUAGCCAAACUACUGCCUCGUCCCCUAACUUUUUUACACAGUUAGAAGCAGUAUGCUGGUUAGCUACUACAUCAAAAGGGUAAUU